CAGUCGCCACGGUAAUACGGAGGGUGCAAGCGUUAAUCGGAUUUACUGGGCGUAAAGCGUGCGUAGGCGGCUUUUUAAGUCGGAUGUGAAAUCCCUGAGCUUAACUUAGGAAUUGCAUUCGAUACUGGGAAGCUAGAGUAUGGGAGAGGAUGGUAGAAUUCCAGGUGUAGCGGUGAAAUGCGUAGAGAUCUGGAGGAAUACCGAUGGCGAAGGCAGCCAUCUGGCCUAAUACUGACGCUGAGGUACGAAAGCAUGGGGAGCAAACAGGAUUAGAUACCCCGGUAGUCCCUGUCUCUUAUAC
rnacentral:rRNA from 1 species